CCUACGGGAGGCAGCAGUGAGGAAUAUUGGUCAAUGGGCGAGAGCCUGAACCAGCCAAGUCGCGUGAGGGAGUACUGCCCUAUGGGUUGUAAACCUCUUUUGUCGGGGAGCAAAAGCCGGACGUGUCCGGCUGUGAGAGUACCCGGAGAAAAAGCAUCGGCUAACUCCGUGCCAGCAGCCGCGGUAAUACGGAGGAUGCGAGCGUUAUCCGGAUUUAUUGGGUUUAAAGGGUGCGCAGGCGGAUUUUUAAGUCAGCGGUAAAAUCGUGGGGAUCAACCCCAUCCAGCCGUUGAAACUGGGGAUCUAGAGUGUGCGAGAGGUAUGCGGAAUGGGUGGUGUAGCGGUGAAAUGCAUAGAUAUCACGCAGAACCCCGAUUGCGAAGGCAGCAUACCGGUGCACAACUGACGCUCAGGCACGAAAGCGUGGGUAUCGAACAGGAUUAGAUACCCCGGUAGUC
rnacentral:rRNA from 1 species